AGCGGAGGAAAAGAAAACAAAAGUGAUACCCCUAGUAAUGGCGAACANGGUAGAGCCCAACGCAAAAGGUUUGCCGUCCCAGCUUNGAUNGCCAACGAUGNUGCGUGUGAGCGGCNGUGNUGANUUCAUNANNCGNUANNUNGNNGGGAUCUUCAACCCUUUNCAACUCUUNCGGAGGAAAAGAAACCAACAGGGAUUGCCCUAGUAACGGCGAGUGAAGCGGCANCAGCKSAAAKCUGAAAUUUGGCGUMWGCCCGAGUUGUAAUUUGUAGAGGAUGCUUCUGGGUAGCGGCCGGUCUAAGUUCCUUGGAACAGGACGUCAUAGAGGGUGAGAAUCCCGUAUGUGACUGGCUUGCACCCUCNACGUAGCUCCUUCGACGAGUCGAGUUGUUUGGGAAUGCAGCUCUAAAUGGGAGGUAAAUUUCUUCUAAAGCUAAAUACCGGCCAGAGACCGAUAGCGCACAAGUAGAGUGAUCGAAAGAUGAAAAGCACUUUGGAAAGAGAGUUAAAAAGCACGUGAAAUUGUUGAAAGGGAAGCGCCCGCAACCAGACUUUGCGGCGGUGUUCGGCUGGUCUUCUGACCGGUUUACUCGCCGCCGUGAGGCCAUCAUCGUCUGGGACCGCUGGAUAAGACNUGAGGAAUGUAGCUCCCUUCGGGGUGUGUUAUANCCUCUGGUGAUGCAGCGCGUCUCGGGCGAGGUCCGCGCUUCGGCAAGGAUGAUGGCGUAAUGGUUGUCGGCGGCCC
rnacentral:rRNA from 1 species